GGGGAGAUACUCAAGCGGCCAACGAGGACAGACUGUAAAUCUGUUGUCUUUAGACUUCGCAGGUUCGAAUCCUGCUCUCCCCA
rnacentral:tRNA from 1 species